rnacentral:lncRNA from 1 species
CACCCACCCACACACAUGAAGGUGCCUCUCUGUGGAGCUGCCUCCCAAGUGAUGGAGAUGAGAGAAUAAUCAGUAGAAGCUCUCAGGACAACAUACCAGGAAUCUGUUCAAGGGCAAGAUGGGGAAGUUCUAGAGAAGACUGAAGAUGUGGCCUAUGACAUCAACACAUGCACUACACAGAUUGAAGCCACUCAAGCAAAAAGAGGCAUUUUAACUGAGCUGUUAGGUGGGGGGUGGGGGAGGAUCUCACUCCGCUGGAUAGGAACAAGCAGCAGAUUCACCAGGAGCAGAUUCACCAGAAGACUCAAGCCUCCUUCAAGUCUGCUCUGGUAGUGGGUCACCUGAAGCAUCACUUAAAAGUUGAAAGCGUCUGUGGAAAUAGCUCAUUCUCCCCGAGUGACAUUUCGGGGUUUUGUUGUUGUUGUUGUUGCUGUUGUUUUGUUUUUUCGAGACAAGGUUUCUCUGUGGCUUUGAAGGCUGUCCUGGAACUAGCUCUUGUAGACCAGGCUGGCCUUGAACUCACAGAGAUCCACCUGCCUCUGCCUCCCAAGUGCUGGGAUUAAAGGUGUGCGCCACCACCGCCUGACCAACAUUUCGAUUUUGUGAAACUGAAAUUUGCCUGUCUCUACAGAGCACUAGUUAGUUACGUUCAGGAAGCUUGGGCAAGAGCUGAGACCCGUGAAGCCAUCCAUCCCCGUGGGUGUAGCCUCAGUUAGUGGAGCUCUUGCCUAGCAUUCACACAGCCCCGGUUUCAACCUCAGUACCACGGAAAUCAGAGGCGGGCACAUGCCUGCAAUCCUAGCAGCUAGGAGGAGGCUGCAGGAGGCUCUGAAAUUCAGGGUCAACUUCAGAUACAUAGUGAGUUUCAGACCAGUUUAGGAUUUAAAAAGGCCAGCAAAAUCUUCCAAAUCUUCCAAAUCUUCCUGUAGAACCUUCCAGAGAAACUGGAGUCCCUAGACUAUUUCUAGCAGUAGCAUUCUCUUUAAGAUUCUAGGUAAACAAAAGCAUUUGCAUCCUCUUGUCCAAGAGAAUUUUCUGGGAAGAAUGAUCACUUCUAACUUCAAUGGAAAUUUCCACUGGGACCGUUCUGUUUCUGCACGUCUUUACACGGUGCUACAUUAGAACUGCAGGGCAGAAUUCCCAAGGUGUCAAUAGUUAGGUUACAGAGUUCACCGUAGCAGAUAAAAGGAGGCAAACAAGUUUAUCUGGAGACAUCAAAUUUUCCUGCAAAGUGGAC